GUUUGAAGUGCCCAUCACUGAAUUAAUCACUAUGGCCAGGAGGAUAUGGAUCCUGACUGCACUGACCGGGUCGUAUGGCCACCCCUGGAGCCAAGGAUGAGGAAAUAAAAACGAUACAGGAAAACUAGCAGUGGUUAAACAGCGAUCUGGCUGUCAACGUGCUGUUGGAAGCAGUAACAAUAUCGAAGGCAGCCAGUUGUUGGUAGUCACACUACAGCAGAGGAGGGCAAUGCCGCUUUGGGAAACCAGAUGCCUGUCCAGCGGAAGGAGGACAGUAGAGAAGUGGUGAGUCCAGGACUGAGUGCAAUGGGCAACAGGCUCAUGUUAAAUGAAUUUCAUGGAGCACUAGAGUAACUUUCACAAGGCUGAACAUGUGUCUUAAAUAUUGCAAGGGUCUAAAAUUCCAGCUACCCUCAACAAAAAUGGCCUCCAGACUUGCAAGUUACCUGCUAAUGCUCAAAUUAGCAGCAAAAUAAAGUUAAGGGACCUACUGGAAACAUUUCCCAAGAGGUAUUCAUGGAAAAAAAAGAAAAAAAAAACAAACAAAAAAAGGCAGUGCAGAAUUCAUAGCUAUGCGUGUACAUGUGUUCUAGUUACUUCACACACAGCAAUACUGAAAAAGAAGACUAUAAAUGGAUCUGUGCACCAAGAGUUCAGGAAGAAGUUGAGGAAUAUGAUUUUUUAAAAAGUUAACAUUUAAUAGCAUAUAAACUUAGCAUGCUAUAUUUCAUGGCAAAGUGACAAAUGCUAUUCAAAGAGAGUCAGGACCAUGACUCUCCUCACAUUUAAAAAAAAAAAAAUAGAAAAAGGGGGAAAAAAGCUAAAAAUUCCCGGGAUACCCCCAAAAACCUUGAAAAAUUAUGCAUCUUGCUUAUCUGUAAGAUUUUUGUGAGGUUCCCUUUUUUCUAAACAAGAAAUGCAAUUUGCACUGACAAUGCCAGAUGGAACAUGCUCCAAUCCUGCUUGUGAGUUCUGGGUAAGAGAUUAAAUCUUAAGCACAAAGAAGAAAUAAAUGAGUUACUGAAAAGCAGUCACAACUAAGACUGACAGGCAGGAUCAGAGGCGUACAUGUAAUACUUCGUCACACAUCGCUUCAACAUACCAUCACUGACUUUUGGCAUUAGGCAACUUCUUUCCUCUCCAAGUUUCAAGAUGAGGAAACAUGGGCAUGCACACAUGGGACAGCAUGGAGCUUUCAACUUCUAACAUAGGAAAAAGCAACACCAGAGGAGGAAAAUGGUACAGAUUCAUGCAUCCAGUUUAGAAUCCAUUUUUUUCCAGGAAUCUUUCAAAGGUGUUAACUGCUCUAUUACAUUUCAAACUCCCAAUGGCCUUAGCUAGCAAAUUUAGAAGGAAAAAAAAUUUAACUACCAGUGACUGACUUUCUGGCUAUCGAAUUUUCCAUCUCUUAGGACACAGCCCAAGAGGCAAGAGAGCUUAUGGUACACACAUCUUUGCAGAUAUUAAGGUAGUGAAAGACUUCAUUUUUACCUCUAAAAACUUCUAUCUAUGGCAGGAGAAAUGACAGUCACCCAUAGGCCACCUUCCUCUCUAAUCCUGUUACUGACGCGCAUCCAUCCUAGACUAGCUGAGUAUAUACCUGAGAAACAUUAGUGUUAAAAUAUCGCCCUUUACAAAGACUGGUAGAUGGGGCCAAAGUGCAGAAAGCAACAGUUUUCUCUCAGUUUGUUUCGCUGUUAGUGUCACAGUUUUUAGAGCUCCUGGUGCCACAUGACUAUCCGUAGUGAGGACAAAUCCUGCUUAGAUGAAACCCAAGUCAAACAAUUCAUCCUUCCACAGAGCACACUAAUGACAGCUUAACUGGUUCACAGGUUCCAAAACCCUAGUGUCCAACAAAAGUCAUUAGAGUCCUCUAGAAAGAAAUAUGUACAAUUGCUAAAGGGACCAUCCAGGGUAUCGUCUACAAUUAUUCCAGUUAGCUUGGUAUCAAUGCUUUGCCUAUGGCUGUUAUUUGGUUCAAUGGUAGAAUAAGGCGACGCUUUUAACAAUUUGCAAUUGAAUUCUCCUCUCUCUCUCUCACACACACACACACACACACACGCACAGACGCCCAGAUAUACACACAUCAGGCACAUGACCCAAAAAGUACAAAACAAAAGCAUAGAGGGCUUUGGUGGGAGGGACAGGGUUCUAAAUAAAUAAACAUCUUUACAGAUAAAACACUUGGGUUGCAGAAAUAUCACUGAGGUUUUUGAGAAGGCCGUGCAGAGGUUUGCAUGCUAGAAGAUAACUUUUUUGAAGACUUCUCAGCAGACUGCCUGCCUCCAGGAGACGAGGGCACUCCAGAAUCUAGCUGGGAAGACUUGGACUUGCGAGCGGACAGCAGGGAAUGUUUAGCAGAAGCAGGGUCCUUGGAGACAAGCUGCUCUUUUCCAACUGCAUUUGCACUUGGCUGCUGGGAACCUGGAGCCUGGUAGCCUUUCUCUGCCUUGUCAUCCAUGGCAUUCUUACAGGCCGACUUGACAGAGCUCCCGCUGGCCUUCUUGGAGAGCAAGGUUGUCUUGCCAAGAUCAGUUGACCGCCGAGUUUCCUUCUGUCUCAAGGCUGACUUGAAGAAGGACAGCCCCUUGUCCUCCGACUUGCUGUCCCUCUUUAGACCGGCCUUCAUGCUCGUGUUGGGGGAGCGCAGGCUGGCCAUGGAAGAGCUCCUGACAUGUUUCCCAUCCCCUCGGCCCUCCCCCACCCUGGUCUGGCUCACCCUUGGGGAGUUGGGUUUGGAGCUGGAGGCUAUGCUGGCUCUGUCGGAAGCCAGGCUUUGUCUGGAGCCCUCUCUACUUAAGCUCCUGUCUGAAGUCCUGCCCUUCCCAGGAGGGAAGGGGCCCCUUGAGGCAGGGCCUGAGGCUUUUUUGGCAGACGUGGAGGAAGCAGUGUACGUGAGAGCAGGGGCCAACUUCUGCUUCUGGGGUGAAGGAGAUGAUGCGGAGUCCUGGCAUUUGGGGGAAGACUCUUUUUUGGGUUGGGCGGGGACAGGAGAGGAAUGGCGUCCACUGGCCCUGGAAGAGGAGUCUGCUUUGCUUCGGGAGCGGGAGGGCUUUACAGAAACUUUCACAGGAACAGGAGAAGAAGGGGACGUACUUGAAAGCGAUGAUUCCUGGCUUGCCAACACUGGUCUCCCCUUCCGCACACCUCUAUCUGGCUCAGAAGCGCCUUUGGAGCUGGGGGAUCUCUUGGUUGUGCUCUCUGGUUUCUUCGUGAGGGAGCCUGGGUGGCUGGGGGGUUUCACCUCUUUGACUGGAGAGCUGUCUACAGAAUCACUCUGAUCCACAUAAGCAAUCUGGUUAUUGUUAUCAAAAGGAUCAGAGAUGGGGGGCACACGAUCCCCUUGUGCUGAGUUUUUGCUCUGUGCAUCUACAACACUGGAGUUCAAUUUGCGGGUGUCUGAUUCGUCCUUGAACACACUUUCCAUGACAGCCAGAGGGGCCCGACCCACAGCCUUGUGCUCACGUCGACUGUGACUAUCGCUUGGCUCCUGGUAACUGCUGGAAAGGUUCCUCAAGCUACCAAAGCAAGAGAUGGAGACCUUGUCGUCCACUGCCUCCCCGAUCUUCUCCAAGGUGGAGGCGGAGGUGUGAAUCGGAGAGUCCCCUGAGAAUCGGGAAGGAGAAUUGGAGCGCAUCUGCAGCUUAGCAGACAGGGACCAAGAAGGUCGAAUGCAAUUUUCAGUGACGGCCAAGGGGCUGGUGACAGAAGAUCUGGACGACAAGCUCUGACGCUGGACACUUCUCACGAACGGUCGAGUUGAGAAACCUCCUGAAUACAGCAAAGAGAAUUUUGUUAAGCUAAAUGACAAAACUUGCCCAUAACAUCUAAAGAUGGAAGGGACAUGGAAGGCAGGCAAAACUCGUGGUAUGAGAGAAGCAUGGCGUUCAGAGCCAGCACGUCUGGGGUUAAAGUGUGGCCAUAUGACUUCUACUGUCCUGAGCCCAGUUCGCUUAUCUAUAAGACAGGGACAUUCUAACCUAGGAGUCGCCACACUCUCUCUUUACCUUCUUACUCUACGCCAGGGGUCAGCAGACUUUUCCUGUAAAGGCCCAGAUGGUAAAUAUUUUAGACUUGUGGGCUAGCUACCCAACUCUGUCACUGUAGCACCAACACAGCCACAAGGGACACAGAAACACAUGGGUGUGGCUGGGUUCCAGUAAAACUUGAUUCACAAACAAAGGCAGGGGCCAUGUUUGGCCUGUGGGCUGCAGUGUGCUGACCCCUGUCCUAACUCACACGGCUACUCUGAGAAUUAACUAAAAUCUUGAAAGUCUUAUGCCCAGCAAGGCACCUGGCAUUCAC
rnacentral:lncRNA from 1 species